rnacentral:rRNA from 1 species
AACGAACGCUGGCGGCAUGCCUAACACAUGCAAGUCGAACGAGACCUUCGGGUCUAGUGGCGCACGGGUGCGUAACGCGUGGGAACCUGCCCUUAGGUUAGGAAUAACUCCCCGAAAGGGGUGCUAAUACCGGAUAAUGUCUUAGGACCAAAGAUUUAUCGCCUUUGGAUGGGCCCGCGUUGGAUUAGCUAGUUGGUAGGGUAAAAGCCUACCAAGGCGACGAUCCAUAGCUGGUCUGAGAGGAUGAUCAGCCACACUGGGACUGAGACACGGCCCAGACUCCUACGGGAGGCAGCAGUGGGGAAUAUUGGACAAUGGGCGAAAGCCUGAUCCAGCAAUGCCGCGUAAGUGAUGAAGGCCUUAGGGUUGUAAAGCUCUUUUACCCGGGAUGAUAAUGACAGUACCGGGAGAAUAAGCUCCGGCUAACUCCGUG